rnacentral:rRNA from 1 species
UACGUAGGGGGCAAGCGUUGUCCGGAUUUAUUGGGCGUAAAGAGCUCGUAGGCGGCUUGGCAAGUCGGGUGUGAAAACUCCAGGCUCAACCUGGAGAUGCCACUCGAGACUGCUAUGGCUAGAGUCCGGUAGGGGACCACGGAAUUCCUGGUGUAGCGGUGAAAUGCGCAGAUAUCAGGAGGAACACCGGUGGCGAAGGCGGUUCUCUGGGCAUUACCUGACGCUGAGGAGCGAAAGUGUGGGGAGCGAACAGG